UACGAAGGGGGCUAGCGUUGUUCGGAUUUACUGGGCGUAAAGCGCACGUAGGCGGUUUGUUAAGUCAGGGGUGAAAUCCCGGAGCUCAACUCCGGAACUGCCUUUGAUACUGGCAAGCUAGAGCCCGGAAGAGGUAAGUGGAACUCCUAGUGUAGAGGUGGAAUUCGUAGAUAUUAGGAAGAACACCAGUGGCGAAGGCGGCUUACUGGUCCGGAACUGACGCUGAGGUGCGAAAGCGUGGGGAGCAAACAGG
rnacentral:rRNA from 1 species